rnacentral:rRNA from 1 species
CCUACGGGUGGCAGCAGUGAGGAAUAUUGGUCAAUGGGCGAGAGCCUGAACCAGCCAAGUCGCGUGAAGGAUGAAGGAUCUAUGGUUUGUAAACUUCUUUUAUAUGGGAAUAAAGUGAGGAACGUGUUCCUUUUUGUAUGUACCAUAUGAAUAAGCAUCGGCUAACUCCGUGCCAGCAGCCGCGGUAAUACGGAGGAUGCGAGCGUUAUCCGGAUUUAUUGGGUUUAAAGGGUGCGUAGGCGGAUCGUUAAGUCAGUGGUCAAAUUGAGGGGCUCAACCCCUUCCCGCCAUUGAAACUGGCUGUCUUGAGAUGUCGAGAGGUAUGCGGAAUGCGCAGUGUAGCGGUGAAAUGCUUAGAUAUUGUGCAGAACUCCGAUUGCGAAGGCAGCAUACCGGCGGCGAUCUGACGCUGAGGCACGAAAGCGUGGGUAUCGAACAGGAUUAGAUACCCCAGUAGUC